CUUGACAUCGCAUUCCCAUAGCCCCGGCCAAGCGCUCCGGCGGGCCAGAGCCAGAAAAUAUCGCCAUUGGCUCCACGGAAAAGUUCAGAACUGAGAUCUUGGAUGGCUGACAGAGCAUGUGACGGAGCAGCCCCGGCUGAGGAGCCGUCCAGCACCUUUCAUGUCUCACAGUGAUUCACCAGCUUCCCACCAGAUUCACCAACUCUCUCUGCCCAAGAGCAGUUGAGCUCAAAGCAGCUCCCGCUGGGGACUUGGAGACUGUUGUGCAGAAAUUUGCCACACUGAGCUGCAAAACUCUCUUCAGGUGACUUCUCUGAUGGUUAAGAAGCCCUGUGUUCAUUCAACUCAGGUUUGCAGCUCUGUGACACCAAUGACUUCUGGGCUGUCACCCCAACAGAAAAAUCCGAGGCCAUGUGAGCAAGCUUGUCACACACCCUGCCUGAUGAUAAGGCAAGUUAUCACCAUUAUUCUUUGACCUAUUUUUUGGCUUGUAAAUGGCUGGGUCUGAAUUCCCAGCCAGAGACUGAAGAUAUUGUUUAUUGAUCUAUUGUAUAGGAUUGCCUUGAAAGAGUUAGCAUUUGUCUUAGGUGACUCACAGAUUGCUCUGAUGAUGGAUGUGUGCUUUGGUUUGCUCUCAGUGCAUCUGUCUCGCUCUCUGUGUGCAUAUAUGUCCA
rnacentral:lncRNA from 1 species